rnacentral:rRNA from 1 species
CCUACGGGAGGCUGCAGUGGGGAAUAUUGGACAAUGGGGGAAACCCUGAUCCAGCAAUGCCGCGUGUGUGAAGAAGGCCUGCGGGUUGUAAAGCACUUUCGGUUGGGAAGAAAAGUUUGGCGCCAAUACCGCCGAACCUUGACGUUACUGACAGAAGAAGCACCGGCUAACUCUGUGCCAGCAGCCGCGGGAAUACAGAGGGAGCAAGCGUGAAUCGGAAUUACGUGGCGGAUAAUGCGCGUCGGUGGUGAAAUCCCCGGGCUUAACCUGGGAACUGCAUUCGAUACUACAUGGCUAGAGUAUGGUAGAGGGAAGUGGAAUUUCCGGUGUAGCGGUGAAAUGCGUAGAUAUCGGAAGGAACACCAAUGGCGAAGGCAGCUUCCUGGACUAAUACUGACACUGAGGCACGAAAGCGUGGGUAGCAAACAGGAUUAGAUACCCGUGUAGUC